rnacentral:rRNA from 1 species
UGCGUAGGCGGUUUACUGAGUCAGAUGUGAAAGCCCCGGGCUUAACCUGGGAACUGCAUUUGAUACUGGUAGGCUAGAGUAUGAUAGAGGGGGGUAGAAUUCCUGGUGUAGCGGUGAAAUGCGUAGAUAUCAGGAGGAAUACCAGUGGCGAAGGCGACUUCCUGGGCCAAUACUGACGCUGAGGUGCGAAAGCGGUGGGGAGCAAACA